UACGGAGGGUGCAAGCGUUAUCCGGAUUCACUGGGUUUAAAGGGUGCGUAGGUGGGCUGUUAAGUCAGUGGUGAAAUCUCCGGGCUCAACCCGGAAACUGCCAUUGAUACUAUCAGUCUUGAAUAUCGUGGAGGUAAGCGGAAUAUGUCAUGUAGCGGUGAAAUGCUUAGAUAUGACGCAGAACACCAAUUGCGAAGGCAGCUUGCUACACUGUUAUUGACACUGAGGCACGAAAGCGUGGGGAUCAAACAGG
rnacentral:rRNA from 1 species